GCGGAAGUGGCGGAAUAGGUAGACGCCCAGGUCUUAGGAACCUGUGCUUGCAAAAGCGUGCGGGUUCGAGUCCCGCCUUCCGCAC
rnacentral:tRNA from 1 species